rnacentral:rRNA from 1 species
GCCAUGGCGGGGUGCUUACCAUGCAAGUCGAACGAUGACUUUUGUGCUUGCACAGAAUGAUUAGUGGCGAACGGGUGAGUAACACGUGAGUAACCUGCCCCUGACUCUGGGAUAAGCCUGGGAAACUGGGUCUAAUACUGGAUAUGCACCGUAGACCGCAUGGUUUUUGGUGGAAAGAAUUUUGGUCAGGGAUGGACUCGCGGCCUAUCAGCUUGUUGGUGAGGUAAUGGCUCACCAAGGCGACGACGGGUAGCCGGCCUGAGAGGGUGACCGGCCACACUGGGACUGAGACACGGCCCAGACUCCUACGGGAGGCAGCAGUGGGGAAUAUUGCACAAUGGGCGAAAGCCUGAUGCAGCGACGCCGCGUGAGGGAUGACGGCCUUCGGGUUGUAAACCUCUUUCAGUAGGGAAGAAGCGAAAGUGACGGUACCUGCAGAAGAAGCGCCGGCUAACUACGUGCCAGCAGCCGCGGUAAUACGUAGGGCGCAAGCGUUAUCCGGAAUUAUUGGGCGUAAAGAGCUCGUAGGCGGUUUGUCGCGUCUGCCGUGAAAGUCCGAGGCUCAACUUCGGAUCUGCGGUGGGUACGGGCAGACUAGAGUGAUGUAGGGGAGACUGGAAUUCCUGGUGUAGCGGUGAAAUGCGCAGAUAUCAGGAGGAACACCGAUGGCGAAGGCAGGUCUCUGGGCAUCUACUGACGCUGAGGAGCGAAAGCAUGGGGAGCGAACAGGAUUAGAUACCCUGGUAGUCCAUGCCGUAAACGUUGGGCACUAGGUGUGGGGGACAUUCCACGUUUUCCGCGCCGUAGCUAACGCAUUAAGUGCCCCGCCUGGGGAGUACGGCCGCAAGGCUAAAACUCAAGGAAUUGACGGGGGCCCGCACAAGCGGCGGAGCAUGCGGAUUAAUUCGAUGCAACGCGAAAACCUUACCAAGGCUUGACAUGUGCUAGAUCGCCAUAGAAAUA